rnacentral:rRNA from 1 species
UGCNAGUCGAGCCCUGAGGCGGCGAGCGGCGGACGGGUGAGUAUACCUAGGGAUCUGCCCAGUCGAGGGGGAUAACAGUUGGAAACGACUGCUAAUACCGCAUACGCCCUACGGGGGAAAGGAGGGGACCUUCGGGCCUUUCGCGAUUGGAUGAACCUAGGUGGGAUUAGCUAGUUGGUGAGGUAAUGGCUCCAAGGCGACGAUCCCUA